AUGGCAUGGCAGCUUUCCCCUUCCCUGCGCUGCAUAAUUCAGUUCCUGGCACCGGUAGUUCCUGCAUACAUAAUCGUUUAUGUGAUUAUUACGUGCUGUUUUGCCAUGUUACUGCUACUGUUGGAUAGGUGUCCGCAUCAUUUUCUCCCCUCCUUAGCUGUCGUUGUUAUCACUGAAAUUAUUGGGUCACAGGCACCAAUGAUUCUGUGGAGCCGUCCCUUUUUAAUAACUAUUGAAAAUUUGACAGCGAUGAUAGGGGUGUGGUUUUUCACUUUGCAUUGUGAAUCCAUAUCCAGUGAUUAA
rnacentral:rRNA from 1 species